CCUACGGGAGGCAGCAGUAGGGAAUCUUGUGCAAUGGGCGAAAGCCUGACACAGCAACUCCGCGUGCGGGAAGAAGGCCUUAGGGUUGUAAACCGCUUUUGGCAGGAACGAAAAUGACGGUACCUGCAGAAUAAGGUGCGGCCAACUACGUGCCAGCAGCCGCGGUGACACGUAGGCACCAAGCGUUGUCCGGAUUUAUUGGGCGUAAAGAGCUCGUAGGCGGUUCAGUUAGUCGGGUGUGAAAACUCUGGGCUUAACCCGGAGACGCCACUCGAUACUGCUGGGCUAGAAUUCGGUAGGGGAGUGGGGAAUUCCUGGUGUAGCGGUGAAAUGCGCAGAUAUCAGGAGGAACACCGGUGGCGAAGGCGCCACUCUGGGCCGACAUUGACGCUGAGGAGCGAAAGCGUGGGUAGCAAACAGGAUUAGAUACCCUGGUAGUCCACGCCGUAAACGGUGGGCACUAGGUGUGGGUUCCAACCAACGGAAUCCGUGCCGUCGCAAACGCAUUAAGUGCCCCGCCUGGGGAGUACGGCCGCAAGGUUAAAACUCAAAGGAAUUGACGG
rnacentral:rRNA from 1 species